AUUAAAUUCACCCUGUGAACAUCUCCCGUGACCGUCCCUUUGCAUUGCGUGUCGGCUGACCACCGGCCUCUCUCUUCCUCUCUCGUCGAUUCCGUCGCUCGCCGCCCUUCGAAACCUCCACUGAAUUGCGAGUCGGCUGCCCACCGGCGUCCCUCUCAUCCUCUCUCGUCGAUUCUGUCGCUUGCUGCUCCUCGAAACCUCCACUGAAGGAGUUUCCUCGAUAUCUGCCACUGCUGGAAACUAGGUCAGGUUUCAGGGAUUUGAGCCUAGGGCUUGAUCAAGUAUAUGUUGAACUAGAGUAAUUGAUGCGUUGGUUGUGCACACGGACCAAACCUUAACCUCGACUCUGAAGAUCUCUGAAUCUGGUCGGAAGAAUAUGCAUCCUCCUCUAACUUUGCAUCGGCAUCCUAUGUGUGCUGAGAUUAUUGAGGAUUUUCAGAAGUGCCAUGUAGACCAUCCAAUUGGAAAAUUUUUUGGGAAAUGCACUGAGCUAAAAAUAAAGCUUGAUCGUUGUUUUCGACAAGAGAAAGCAGUGAAGCGGAAGGUGAACUUCGAGCAAAGUAAAAAGUUCAAAGAAAGACUGCAGGCUUACAGAAAGGAGAUGGCAGAGAAAGACACAUAAGGGCCUUGCAAAGUACCCAUACUUGAAUCUCUCAUUAAUAGACCCUUGUCUAAAUUGACCAUUUAGAUCAAAAGCCCUAAAUUUUCCUUCUAUUGGGGAUUAAUAAAAUUUGUUAUUACUGGCUUCUUAGGUUAUACAAGAAGUACAAUCUUUAAUGUGCUCUUAUUCAUCUCUCUGAAACUUGUAAUGAUCUCUGUGGAGGUCAUAAUUAUUAAGGAGAAGUCCUACACUAUAUGCAUGAUGCUAGAGUGAAAUUAAUUUGUCAUUGUAAAAUACUUAUGAUAAUUUUAUUUUUACUUAUUCUUUUAUUUUCUUUCCUUGCACUAGCUAUUGGUGCUCCCAGCGGACCUAGUUUGUUUUGGUAGUAGUACACAUUGUUGAUAGUAUUUAGUGCAAUUUUGAUGCAUGCAUUGACAUCAUUCUGAUUGCGUAUUACUGGAUAUUUCGCUGUUAAUUGCCUUGUUUUUGCCAUCGGAUUCAAUUUUCAAGAUGGUUUGUGUUUGAUAGUAUUUGGUGCACUUUUGAUACAUGCAUAAAUAUCAUACUUAUUGCACUAUACUCAAUAUUUCCAUCCUAAUUUCUUUGUUUUAGUGAUCAGAUUUAGUUUCUGAAAUGGUUGUGUUAGACUUGCGAGAGUUGUUGUUACCUAAUAGACUUGAUUAUAACUCUUCUACAUUGUACUUUUGAUGAUCUAACUUGAGUUGAUCUUUCUGCUGAUCACAUAAUGUUAUACUUUCUAUGAAGAUUGUAUUCCUUUUUUAGAUGAUCUAACUUGCGAUGUUUGUUCCUUUUUAUGUUAAUACUUUCUAUGAAGAUUGUGGCGGAGAUCCAAUUCUCUGAUCCUUUUUACUGAUAGAAUUGCAUAUGUAGUAAUGGUGGAUCAAGGUUAUCUCUCUGAUCUCCUAGACAAUUCUACAUCAACUACCAUCUGGUGCUAUUUGAAUAUUGGCAGAGAUAAGGAUGAACCUUAGUCUCUAUCUUUUAGUAAACUCAGAUAAGUCAGUUUUUCCUCCUUUUUUUUUUCUGGUUUAUUUACUAUUAAUUUGAAUAUAAGCAUUUUGCCUAGUGGGUUGGCUCUCAUUCGAGUGUAUUAUUGAGAUUGUGACAGAAUGGCUAGAGAGUUAACGAUAAAAAAUGUGCUCUCAUUCUGUAUGCCCUAUGUGGAUGAACUGAUGAUGUCGUCUGCAAUAAAUGGUAACCAGCUAAAGGGUCUUGACUUGUAGUUUAAAUUAUGAAUAGAAUAAAUACAUUUCUGUGGUCAUUAUUUGGCUAAACCUUUUUGAAUUUCAUUGUUUUUCAUGGUUUAUUAGAUGAUUUGUCAUGUCCUGGUUGCUUCUUCAAUGGAUAACUGUUACCUUAGGGUGAAAAAGGUACCGUCGAUACGAAGUUACGUCUUUUAUCCUACUAUUUGAGCUAAUAUAUUUUUAACUCCAUCCAUGACGAGACUAAUUGGAGAGUUGUGUUAGGUUAUUUGUCACCGUUAAAAUUAUGAUAAAUAUUUAAUGAAUGAAUUCAUUAAAUUAUUGUGUUAAUUUUAGGUCCUUCUUUGGAAGGAACGUCUUGCAGGGUCCGACUGUAACGUUUCGGCAAAGAUCGCUACAUCUUCAGAAUUCGGGUAUAGUAUUAAAUAUGUAAGAGUUCGCAUUGCAGGGUCUGACUGUAAUAUAUCAGCAAGCAUCGCUACAUCUCAAUGAGAACUUGGGUGUAGUAUUAAAUAAGUAAGAGUUUUAACAUCAUAGGUUAGAUAAGAACAAAUAUAAUAGAAAAAUUAAUAAUCUAAUAUUUGGAAUAUAGAACAUAGGAUCACUCAAUGGUAAAUCAAUAGAAGUAAUAGAUACAAUGAUUAGGAGAAAAAUUAGUAUUUUGUGUGUAUAAGAGGCAAAAUGGAUAGACGAUAAAGCAAAAUUAAUAGAGAACUUGGUUUUAAGUUAUGGUACAUAAGAGAGAGUAAAACAAGAAAUGAAGUGGGUAUUGUUGUAGAUAGUUCGUUAAAAGAUGAAGUUAUAGGA